GGCGCCUAGUCCGGCGUCCCCCGCCCCGCAGCCGCUCGCGUUGAACUGUCGGGGACCAGAGGCAGCCAAAACGACUCACCCCCUAAAUGUAAGCUUUGGAAUGAGACGGACACGGUAGCGCCAUCCGUCUAGCACUCGCCGUGAGCAAGCCACACAGAAUCAGAGUUUUACUCAACCCCUUUACAGAUGAGGAAUUUAAAGCGCAGGAAGUGAGAAACUUGUCCUAAAUCACAAAAUUACAAAGGAUACUUCGUUUCUUCCAGUCCUGUUGGUUCAAAACUAAAAAACGUCGCAUUGAAAUACAAGUCUUAGACUUACGGAUCCUCGUAAGUACCCCUCUUUCUCCUCCUCUUUGACCCUCUGAAGAAUUGAGGAAGUGAUCGCCACUGCAGUGGACUUGACUUUACUAAAAGGUUUUUAUAGACCUCAAUUGACAUUAGAAAUAGGUUUCCUUUCUUCAGGGAGAAAAAGUGGAAAGAAAAUGGAAGAGAUAUGAAAGGGGGAAGAAUUUUUCUGUAACCGGGUGGUCUCCAGGAAAAAGGGAGGCUCCAGGUUCCCUGCCCCACCCAGGAGCAGGGUGGAGCUGAACUGAGCGGAGAAUCCAGACCUGAGACUGAAGAGGAUGGAAACAGGAUGGAGCCGGAAGGUGACCUGGGGAGGUACAUGCAGCAGAGACAUGUGAAGCAGCAGCUCAUGUUCCUUGGCCCUGGACUGGGUGAAAGAGACGUGGAAUACCAGGUUGGCAGAGACUGAAGGCACAGAAAUGCAGAUUUUCAGAGGGGCAUUUGGCGCUCCCUGGUGAUGCAGCGGGUUAAAGCACAGCACUAAG